rnacentral:misc_RNA from 1 species
GAAUUGUUGGAGUCGUAGUUCUUCACCUGCUAUGAACAUGAGAUUUGGAAACAAAUAGGAAAGCAACAAACGCUACAACACUGAGCCCAGACAAUAGCAAAUAAAAGUAAUCAAGAUGCGCCUUGUUCAGAUUGUUGGAAAACCAACUAUUAUUCUGCCCACUGCCUCCAGUUACUUCAUCAAUAAUAGAAACUAAAAGACUGCUUAAA